rnacentral:rRNA from 1 species
UGGGGAAUAUUGCACAAUGGGCGCAAGCCUGAUGCAGCAACGCCGCGUGAGGGAUGACGGCCUUCGGGUUGUAAACCUCUUUUAGUAGGGAAGAAGCGAAAGUGACGGUACCUGCAGAAAAAGCACCGGCUAACUACGUGCCAGCAGCCGCGGUAAUACGUAGGGUGCGAGCGUUGUCCGGAAUUAUUGGGCGUAAAGAGCUCGUAGGCGGUCUGUCGCGUCUGCUGUGAAAACCCGAGGCUCAACCUCGGGCCUGCAGUGGGUAUGGGCAGACUAGAGUGCGGUAGGGGAGAAUGGAAUUCCUGGUGUAGCGGUGGAAUGCGCAGAUAUCAGGAGGAACACCGAUGGCGAAGGCAGUUCUCUGGGCCGUAACUGACGCUGAGGAGCGAAACGCGUGGGGAGCGAACAGGAUUAGAUACCCUGGUAGUCCACGCCGUAAACGUUGGGCGCUAGAUGUGGGGCACCAUUCCACGGUUUCCGUGUC